UCCGGCUUAUCACCGGCAGUCCCCCUAGAGUGCCCAACUAAAUGAUGGCAACUAAGGGCGAGGGUUGCUCUCGUUGCGGGACUUAACCCAACAUCUCACGACACGAGCUGACGACAGCCAUGCAGCACCUGUCUUGCGGCUCCCGAAGGCACUCUCCCAUCUCUGAGAGAUUCCGCAGAUGUCAAGAGCAGGUAAGGUUCUUCGCGUUGCAUCGAAUUAAACCACAUACUCCACCGCUUGUGCGGGCCCCCGUCAAUUCCUUUGAGUUUCAGUCUUGCGACCGUACUCCCCAGGCGGCGAACUUAACGCGUUAGCUUCGACACUGAGAGCCUAAUUGCUCCCAACGUCCAGUUCGCAUCGUUUAGGGCGUGGACUAC
rnacentral:misc_RNA from 1 species